AUUGCAGCGGCUUCUCUUCGUUGCCUAGACCAGAAGAAAGCCGGGACGUGAAGGAGCCGGGGGGGUUUUGCUUGCUGGAGGCCCGUUAAACCACCGAUAAAUACAGCUUCCUCACAGUGUCUUCGUCGCUCGAGAGACGUUUGUGACCCAACUUGACCCAUCGUACUUUUUCAUCUUAGAACUAAUUUCACAAACAUGUCCUGGCAAAGCUACGUGGACAACCUGAUGGCUGAUGGCAGCUGCCAGGACGCGGCCAUUGUUGGGUACACGGACGCCAAAUACGUCUGGGCAUCGUUUGUCGGCGGUACCUUUGCCAACAUUACGCCCGACGAAAUCGAUGUGCUAAUAGGAAAGGACCGUGAGGGAUUCUUCACCAGUGGGCUGACCUUAGGCAAUAAAAAGUGCUCCGUAAUCAGAGACAGCCUCCAAAUUGAAGCCGACUGGACAAUGGACAUCCGGACAAAGAGUCAAGGAGGAGAGCCAACAUACAACGUUUCUGUAGGCAGAGCUGGCAAAGUCUUGGUCUUGGUAAUGGGCAAAGAAGGGGUCCAUGGAGGCGGAUUGAAUAAGAAGGCAUACUCGAUGGCAAAAUACUUGAGGGAUUCAGGGUUUUAGAUUAGUUUUGAUGUAGCUUAUGUGGCAUAGUUGAGGGAGAGAGAAAAACAAAUGAAAAGGCAAACAAAAAACACAAAACUUCAAAAAAAAAAUAGACAAAAAAAAAAACCAAAUUGCUGUCAAACCCAUUUUUCUCCCCCGGACAGUCCAAUUAAACAAAAUCCCAGGAGCAUUUCUAACACAACGCAGGGUUCAGGCUCUGUCCUCAACAAUGUAGCCCCACAUUUAGCAAGCAUUGGUUUUUGUCAUGGGGAAGGAAGGUGUCCAUGGAGGGCAGCUCAACAAGAAAGCUUUUCAGAUGGCUGAAUACCUGAGGAAGUCCGGAUACUAAAGCAGCCUGUACCCAGCCACCUAGCAGCUCACCCUUACCACCCUGUUGCAUUUCACACUACUUCCAGUCCUAGUUGGUAGUUACUUUGUUUUUCUUUUUCUGCCUUCUCUCCUACCCAUUUGUUAUCCCUCUUUUUUUCUUUUUUCUUUUUUUUUUUUUGUUAUCUUCCCCUAACCCGCCCUCUUCCCUCUCCCCCCAACACACUUGCGCUGUGUACUCUUUACCCCCUUAAGCACUAUAAGUUGAUCCAUAGCAAAGAUGAGCAUGUUGCUAACAGGUUGUCAUGACAAAUCUGUACUUAACCAAGACCAGCAAAAAAAAAAAAAAAAAAAAAAAAAGAUUCUGGCCAAACACUUGGACAAUGAAGGCUAUAGCGUCAAUUUGAGGUAGUUAUUUCUUUCUUUCUUGCUCUGUCAUUGUGCCCAUUACUUAAAACCCCAAAUCCUGAUCAUACACACUCCCUCCCUGAGCAGCCGAUGCCUAUGGAGCACUUGAGCGGUAACCAAGCUCGUCAUGUCUUCCUUUUAUUUUCUCCAUCAUGUCCGGGAGGGGAGACUCCGUGCAUAUCUUGAUCCACUGUUGUUUCCCCAUCACACCCACCACGCAAGCACCCCCCCCACCCCAACCUCCUUCUUCCUCUCCACACUCCUGCCAAAAUUUUCUGUUCCUCCCCUUUCCCUGUUUCCCCAUCCUGUUUGCUCAAAGCAGGUGACACUACAAACCUCACAGGAGACUCUCAUCUUCACCACCCAACUAGUUCUCUAACUCCCCUCUCCUUUCAGAUGCACUGCACUGUCCUGGACAUAUUUUAUACACAGAGGGGGGGGGGUGGCAUGUGUGUGGGGCUGCUUGGAUCAGCCCAGUUAACGAUCAUGAAUCGGAUUUGCGAGUGUUGGUGUCGUCCAGAUGCUGGUAGCCUCUCCUCCCAUCAUCACAACCUCCCCGACUACACGAAAACCCAUGGACAUUCCACAGUAACAAUGGCUCAGGCACUUAAAACUGUUUUUGUUUGCCAGCUCCUGUAAUAUAUAUAUUUUUUUUUUUUCGUUUUUGAAAGGCUGCCAUUUUUGGACAGUAGAUAUCCCAGCAUAUAACCAUCUGGAGUAUGUCCAGUUUGAAUUUUUUUCUUUUUAUAGGACCAAGUGUAGUCGAAGCUCGGGUGUUUAUACAAUUGCUCUAAAUCAUGUGAUGGAUGACUGCUAACUUUUUUUCUGAUAAAGGAAACGCUAACCAGACAGAAAUACAUACUAUGGUUAAAAAAAUAUGAAGCUACAGGGAAGGUAAGGGUGGGAGUAUCUGAAGAAAAUUCUCAUUUCACUUUCUUCUUUGUUUAGAAAAUAAACUGCAUUUGUACAAACCCAUGCUGUGUUGACAACUACAAAACUGUGGAAUAAAUUGCCUUUUACUUUAUAGUCAACUGAGCUCUGGGGUAUCACACGGUCUGUCCACGGUCAGUACUGCUAACUAACGUCCAACUGAAGAAAAAAAAAAAAAAACUUUCAAAAGUAGAAAUGACACUCAAUGGGAGAUGGGAUUGGUUGGAACAAAGACGCUUAUGGUUGUCUUGUCGAAACUUAACUGCAGAACCUGUGUAUCCUGUGCCAUAAUGUAGAGAGAUCUGUUGCUGUUGUAAGAUGGAUUUUACCCACUGUCCACUAAGGAGUCAUUUCAUUGGCACUUUCUUUUUUCUUUCUUUCUUUUUUUUUUUUUUUUUUUUUUUUUUUCUUUCUUUA